UGUCCGAUGGUGUAACGGUAGCACAGAAGAUUUUGGUUCUUUUGGUCAGGGUUCGAAUCCUUGUCGGACAACCA
rnacentral:tRNA from 1 species